UACAGAGGGUGCAAGCGUUAAUCGGAUUUACUGGGCGUAAAGCGUGCGUAGGCGGUUCGCUAAGUCGGUUGUGAAAUCCCUGGGCUUAACCUGGGAACUGCAGUCGAUACUGGCGGACUAGAAUGCGGUAGAGGGUGGCGGAACUCCGGGUGUAGCGGUGAAAUGCGUAGAUAUCCGGAAGAACACCGGUGGCGAAAGCGCUCUGCUGGACCUUAACUGACACUGAGGGACGAAAGCUAGGGGAGCGAAUGGG
rnacentral:rRNA from 1 species